CAGGGGGCCCCCUCCGCCCCACGCUCCCUGGUGGCCGCGUCAUUCCUCCUCAAGCCGAGUGAGGAGGGCAGGGAAAGUCACCCCGGCUGCUGCCCCCAUCUCGUCCCACGAUGUAGGUCUAGAAUCGCAUCCUGACUCCUCAAGUUUCCCAUCGCGCUCCUUCUUCAGCUUCACUGCUCAGCCCCGACCUGGCUUUCUGCCCCAUCGCUGUGCCCUCUGACCCCCAGCCCCUCCGACAAGCACCGAGGCUCCGCCCUCUGUCCGAGGCCCUGUGAGCACGGCGCGGGAAGUCAGCAGGGUGGGGCGGCUGCCCCUCGGUGCCAGGGCAUGGGAGCCUCAGGUGGGGCUACUACAAAGUGCGACUGGGGCGGAGGCGCCGAGAAGCCACGCGGGCUCCUGUUCCCGGACCGCACCGCUGGGGCGAGGCUACCGAGUCACCACGACCCCCAGGCCAGCCCAGGCCACGGGUGACUCCUGGGGGCUGCCCGCGGCCCGCCCGCCCGCCUGGGGAGGAACCCAGAGGAGCCCCGUG
rnacentral:lncRNA from 1 species